rnacentral:rRNA from 1 species
UACGGAGGGUCCGAGCGUUAUCCGGAAUUAUUGGGUUUAAAGGGUCCGUAGGCGGGCCAUUAAGUCAGGGGUGAAAGUCUGCGGCUCAACCGUAGAAUUGCCUUUGAUACUGGUGGUCUUGAGUUAUGGUGAAGUGGCUGGAAUAUGUAGUGUAGCGGUGAAAUGCAUAGAUAUUACAUAGAACACCGAUUGCGAAGGCAGGUCACUAACCAUAUACUGACGCUGAUGGACGAAAGCGUGGGGAGCGAACAGG